rnacentral:miRNA from 1 species
UUAUUUUUGUAGAAGUUUUUU